GUCCCUUUUUGGUUCAUAUGUGUGAUUGCUAGGCAUUCAUAUCAUCCAUGACAUAUGUCUCCCACAAACCUUGUUAUAGCAUCGGUACAUUAUCUAUAUUAAA